rnacentral:rRNA from 1 species
GACGAACGCUGGCGGCGUGCUUAACACAUGCAAGUCGAACGGAAAGGCCCUGCUUUUGUGGGGUGCUCGAGUGGCGAACGGGUGAGUAACACGUGAGUAACCUGCCCUUGACUUUGGGAUAACUUCAGGAAACUGGGGCUAAUACCGGAUAGGAGCUCCUGCUGCAUGGUGGGGGUUGGAAAGUUUCGGCGGUUGGGGAUGGACUCGCGGCUUAUCAGCUUGUUGGUGGGGUAGUGGCUUACCAAGGCUUUGACGGGUAGCCGGCCUGAGAGGGUGACCGGCCACAUUGGGACUGAGAUACGGCCCAGACUCCUACGGGAGGCAGCAGUGGGGAAUAUUGCACAAUGGGCGGAAGCCUGAUGCAGCAAUGCCGCGUGCGGGAUGACGGCCUUCGGGUUGUAAACCGCUUUCGCCUGUGACGAAGCGUGAGUGACGGUAAUGGGUAAAGAAGCACCGGCUAACUACGCGCCAGCCGCCGCAGUAA